rnacentral:rRNA from 1 species
UUCUAAGGGCGUUGAAGCAUGAUCGCAAGGACAUGUGGAGCGCUUAGAAGUGAGAAUGCCGGUGUGAGUAGCGAAAGACGGGUGAGAAUCCCGUCCACCGAUUGACUAAGGUUUCCAGAGGAAGGCUCGUCCGCUCUGGGUUAGUCGGGUCCUAAGCUGAGGCCGACAGGCGUAGGCGAUGGAUAACAGGUUGAUAUUCCUGUACCACCAUUAUUCGUUUUAAGCGAUGGGGGGACGCAGUAGGAUAGGCGAAGCGUGCUGUUGGAGUGCACGUCCAAGCAGUGAGAUUGAGUGUUAGGCAAAUCCGGCACUCUUAAGAUUGAGCUGUGAUGGGGAGAGGAACUUGUUCCUCGAGUCGUUGAUUUCACACUGCCGAGAAAAGCCUCUAGCUAGAAUAACGGUGCCCGUACCGCAAACCGACACAGGUAGUCAAGAUGAGAAUUCUAAGGUGAGCGAGCGAACUCUCGUUAAGGAACUCGGCAAAAUGACCCCGUAACUUCGGGAGAAGGGGUGCUCUUUGAGGUUCACGCUUCGAAGAGCCGCAGUGAAUAGGCCCAAGCGACUGUUUAUCAAAAACACAGGUCUCUGCUAAACCGUAAGGUGACGUAUAGGGGCUGACGCCUGCCCGGUGCUGGAAGGUUAAGAGGAGUGGUUAGCGCAAGCGAAGCUACGAAUCGAAGCCCCAGUAAACGGCGGCCGUAACUAUAACGGUCCUAAGGUAGCGAAAUUCCUUGUCGGGUAAGUUCCGACCCGCACGAAAGGCGUAACGAUUUGGGCACUGUCUCAACGAGAGACUCGGUGAAAUCAUAGUACCGGUGAAGAUGCCGGUUACCCGCGACAGGACGGAAAGACCCCGUGGAGCUUUACUGUAGCCUGAUAUUGAAAUUCGGUACAGUUUGUACAGGAUAGGUAGGAGCCUUAGAAGCGUGAGCGCUAGCUUACGUGGAGGCAUUGGUGGGAUACUACCCUAAUUGUAUUGGAUUUCUAACCCGCAGCACUUAUCGUGCUGGGAGACAGUGUCAGGCGGGCAGUUUGACUGGGGCGGUCGCCUCCUAAAGAGUAACGGAGGCGCUCAAAGGUUCCCUCAGAAUGGUUGGAAAUCAUUCAUAGAGUGUAAAGGCAUAAGGGAGCUUGACUGCGAGACCUACAAGUCGAGCAGGGUCGAAAGACGGACUUAGUGAUCCGGUGGUUCCGCAUGGAAGGGCCAUCGCUCAACGGAUAAAAGCUACCCCGGGGAUAACAGGCUUAUCUCCCCCAAGAGUUCACAUCGACGGGGAGGUUUGGCACCUCGAUGUCGGCUCAUCGCAUCCUGGGGCUGUAGUCGGUCCCAAGGGUUGGGCUGUUCGCCCAUUAAAGCGGUACGCGAGCUGGGUUCAGAACGUCGUGAGACAGUUCGGUCCCUAUCCGUCGUGGGCGUAGGAAAUUUGAGAGGAGCUGUCCUUAGUACGAGAGGA